rnacentral:rRNA from 1 species
AACGAACGCUGGCGGCAUGCCUAACGCAUGCAAGUCGAACGAGACCUUCGGGUCUAGUGGCGCACGGGUGCGUAACGCGUGGGAACCUGCCCUUAGGUUCGGAAUAACUCCCCGAAAGGGGUGCUAAUACCGGAUAAUGUCUUCGGACCAAAGAUUUAUCGCCUUUGGAUGGGCCCGCGUUGGAUUAGCUAGUUGGUAGGGUAAAAGCCUACCAAGGCGACGAUCCAUAGCUGGUCUGAGAGGAUGAUCAGCCACACUGGGACUGAGACACGGCCCAGACUCCUACGGGAGGCAGCAGUGGGGAAUAUUGGAAAAUGGGCGAAAGCCUGAUCCAGCAAUGCCGCGUGAGUGAUGAAGGCCUUAGGGUUGUAAAGCUCUUUUACCCGGGAUGAUAAUGACAGUACCGGGAGAAUAAGCUCCGGCUAACUACGUG